GUUAUAUGGUCAAGUGAAGAAGCGCAUACGGUGGAUGCCUUGGCAGUCAGAGGCGAUGAAAGACGUGGUAGCCUGCGAAAAGCUUCGGGGAGUCGGCAAACAGACUGUGAUCCGGAGAUGUCUGAAUGGGGGAACCCAGCCAUCAUAAGAUGGUUAUCUUGUACUGAAUACAUAGGUGCAAGAGGCGAACCAGGGGAACUGAAACAUCUAAGUACCCUGAGGAAAAGAAAUCAACCGAGAUUCCCUUAGUAGUGGCGAGCGAACGGGGACCAGCCCUUAAGUUGUAUUGAGAUUAGCGGAACGUUCUGGAAAGGACGGCCAUAGUGGGUGAUAGCCCUGUACGCGAAAAUCCCUUUGCAAUGAAAUCGAGUAGGACGGGGCACGAGAAACCUUGUCUGAAUAUGGGGGGACCAUCCUCCAAGGCUAAAUACUACUGACUGACCGAUAGUGAACCAGUACCGUGAGGGAAAGGCGAAAAGAACCGCGGAGAGCGGAGUGAAAUAGAUCCUGAAACCGUAUGCGUACAAGCAGUGGGAGCCCACUUUGUUGGGUGACUGCGUACCUUUUGUAUAAUGGGUCAGCGACUUAUUUUCAGUGGCGAGCUUAACCGAAUAGGGGAGGCGUAGCGAAAGCGAGUCUUAAUAGGGCGUCUAGUCGCUGGGAAUAGACCCGAAACCGGGCGAUCUAUCCAUGGGCAGGUUGAAGGUUGGGUAACACUAACUGGAGGACCGAACCGACUACCGUUGAAAAGUUAGCGGAUGACCUGUGGAUCGGAGUGAAAGGCUAAUCAAGCUCGGAGAUAGCUGGUUCUCCUCGAAAGCUAUUUAGGUAGCGCCUCAUGUAUCACUGUAGGGGGUAGAGCACUGUUUCGGCUAGGGGGUCAUCCCGACUUACCAAACCGAUGCAAACUCCGAAUACCUACAAGUGCCGAGCAUGGGAGACACACGGCGGGUGCUAACGUCCGUCGUGAAAAGGGAAACAACCCAGACCGUCAGCUAAGGUCCCAAAGUCAUGGUUAAGUGGGAAACGAUGUGGGAAGGCUUAGACAGCUAGGAGGUUGGCUUAGAAGCAGCCACCCUUUAAAGAAAGCGUAAUAGCUCACUAGUCGAGUCGGCCUGCGCGGAAGAUGUAACGGGGCUCAAACCAUGCACCGAAGCUACGGGUAUCAUCUUUUGAUGAUGCGGUAGAGGAGCGUUCUGUAAGCCUGUGAAGGUGAGUUGAGAAGCUUGCUGGAGGUAUCAGAAGUGCGAAUGCUGACAUGAGUAACGACAAUGGGUGUGAAAAACACCCACGCCGAAAGACCAAGGUUUCCUGCGCAACGUUAAUCGACGCAGGGUUAGUCGGUCCCUAAGGCGAGGCUGAAAAGCGUAGUCGAUGGAAAACAGGUUAAUAUUCCUGUACUUCUGGUUAUUGCGAUGGAGGGACGGAGAAGGCUAGGCCAGCCUGGCGUUGGUAGUCCAGGUUUAAGGUGGUAGGCUGAGAUCUUAGGUAAAUCCGGGAUCUUAAGGCCGAGAGCUGAUGACGAGUGUUCUUUUAGAACAUGAAGUGGUUGAUGCCAUGCUUCCAAGAAAAGCUUCUAAGCUUCAGGUAACCAGGAACCGUACCCCAAACCGACACAGGUGGUUGGGUAGAGAAUACCAAGGCGCUUGAGAGAACUCGGGUGAAGGAACUAGGCAAAAUGGCACCGUAACUUCGGGAGAAGGUGCGCCGGUGAGGGUGAAGCAUUUACUGCGUAAGCCCACGCCGGUCGAAGAUACCAGGCCGCUGCGACUGUUUAUUAAAAACACAGCACUCUGCAAACACGAAAGUGGACGUAUAGGGUGUGACGCCUGCCCGGUGCCGGAAGGUUAAUUGAUGGGGUUAGCGCAAGCGAAGCUCUUGAUCGAAGCCCCGGUAAACGGCGGCCGUAACUAUAACGGUCCUAAGGUAGCGAAAUUCCUUGUCGGGUAAGUUCCGACCUGCACGAAUGGCGUAACGAUGGCGGCGCUGUCUCCACCCGAGACUCAGUGAAAUUGAAAUCGCUGUGAAGAUGCAGUGUAUCCGCGGCUAGACGGAAAGACCCCGUGAACCUUUACUAUAGCUUUGCACUGGACUUUGAAUUUGCUUGUGUAGGAUAGGUGGGAGGCUUUGAAGCGUGGACGCCAGUCUGCGUGGAGCCAACCUUGAUCCGUUAUCCGGAUCGAGGACAGUGUAUGGUGGGUAGUUUGACUGGGGCGGUCUCCUCCUAAAGAGUAACGGAGGAGUACGAAGGUGCGCUCAGACCGGUCGGAAAUCGGUCGUAGAGUAUAAAGGCAAAAGCGCGCUUGACUGCGAGACAGACACGUCGAGCAGGUACGAAAGUAGGUCUUAGUGAUCCGGUGGUUCUGUAUGGAAGGGCCAUCGCUCAACGGAUAAAAGGUACUCCGGGGAUAACAGGCUGAUACCGCCCAAGAGUUCAUAUCGACGGCGGUGUUUGGCACCUCGAUGUCGGCUCAUCACAUCCUGGGGCUGAAGCCGGUCCCAAGGGUAUGGCUGUUCGCCAUUUAAAGUGGUACGCGAGCUGGGUUUAGAACGUCGUGAGACAGUUCGGUCCCUAUCUGCCGUGGACGUUUGAGAUUUGAGAGGGGCUGCUCCUAGUACGAGAGGACCGGAGUGGACGAACCUCUGGUGUUCCGGUUGUCACGCCAGUGGCAUUGCCGGGUAGCUAUGUUCGGAAAAGAUAACCGCUGAAAGCAUCUAAGCGGGAAACUUGCCUCAAGAUGAGAUCUCACUGGAACCUUGAGUUCCCUGAAGGGCCGUCGAAGACUACGACGUUGAUAGGUUGGGUGUGUAAGCGCUGUGAGGCGUUGAGCUAACCAAUACUAAUUGCCCGUGAGGCUUGACCAUAUAACACCCAAGCAAUU
rnacentral:rRNA from 1 species